rnacentral:tRNA from 1 species
GGUGAUGUAGCUCAGUAGUAACUGAGCAUUUACCUAGCAGGUAGAACCCUGGGUUUGAUUCCCAGCACUGCAA